rnacentral:rRNA from 1 species
GACGAACGCUGGCGGCGUGCUUAACACAUGCAAGUCGAACGGAAAGGCCCUGCUUUUGUGGGGUGCUCGAGUGGCGAACGGGUGAGUAACACGUGAGUAACCUGCCCUUGACUUUGGGAUAACUUCAGGAAACUGGGGCUAAUACCGGAUAGGAGCUCCUGCUGCAUGGUGGGGGUUGGAAAGUUUCGGCGGUUGGGGAUGGACUCGCGGCUUAUCAGCUUGUUGGUGGGGUAGUGGCUUACCAAGGCUUUGAGGGGUAGCCGGCCUGAGAGGGUGACCGGCCAGGUUGGGACUGGAAUACGGCCCAGCCCCCCCGGGGGGGCAGGGGGGGGGAAUAUGGCAAGAGGGGGGGAAGCCAGAGGGAGCAACGCCGGGUGGGGGGAGACGGCCUUGGGGUGUGAACCCGCUUUCGCCGGUGAGGAAGGGUGGGUGGCGGUAAUGGGAAAAGAAGCACCGGCUAACUACGG